AACGUAGGAGACAAACGUUAUCCGGAGUUACUGGGCGUAAAGGGCGUGUAGGCGGUUUGUUAAGUCUGGCGUGAAAGCUCUCGGCUAAACCGGGAGAGGUCGUUGGAUACUGGCAGACUAGAGGACGGUAGAGGCGUGUGGAAUUCCCGGUGUAGUGGUGAAAUGCGUAGAUAUCGGGAGGAACACCAGUGGCGAAGGCGACUACCUGGCCUGUUCUUGACGCUGAGGCGCGAAAGCUAGGGGAGCAAACGGG
rnacentral:rRNA from 1 species